rnacentral:sRNA from 1 species
ACAGCAUUGCGGAUAUAAUACCUUCUGUCGAUAUAUACUGAUAUAAAUAUAUGAAUUAUUUCGUCAUUGGGAAAAAAAGAAAGAAAGAAAGAAAACUCAAUAUCUACAUAAGCUUUGGUUUGACGUCACGGCAAGGGGUGAGGGUAUAGAUGUAGAGCAAUAAUUUAAGACAGAAAUAUAUCGAUAUAUUCCGUAACUAAAAGGACGAUUUUUAACCAACAAAAAGCACAAUAUUUAUAUAUAGAAAAACUCGCUUGAAAUACUUCAUCAAGAAAGGAACAAUCCAGGCGCGGCCUCCCUCCGCUGCCCAAAAAACAAAUAAGAGUCAAAAUAUGCUCUCACGCUUUUCCCUUACCAUUUCACUGUGUUAGAGUUGUUAUGGUAAUGUGAGAAGUUAUAUAUGCCCAAGGGAGUAGCAUGCAUAUGUGUAUCUUCGUUCUUUUCCCUCCCGCGCUUCAAACAGUGUCGUUAGUUUCUCACCACCUCGAAUGAGAAAAAAGAAAACAAAAAAGCCAAGGAUAAAGAGUAAGAAGAUAUAAUAGAAAUCGGGCGUGAAAGGAGAAGGAUUGCAGCGUCAACAAUUUAUUUCCCCGGCGGGCGCACAAUGAGGCGUGAGUAGGAAAGGGACGAAAACAAAGAGAGGAGAAGGAAGGCCAGACAACAAAAACAAAUUCAAGCCAAAGAGAUUUGAUCGUCCAUAUGAUAAAAUAUGGAUAAUAGUUUAAGUGUAUGCCACCCCAGCGAUAUCAAUAGGAAACAAAAAAAGGAUAAACGAAAAAUGUUCAAGAAAACGCCAUGCUAGAUUGAUAGAUCGAUCGAUCGAUAGAUAAAUAAAUAACUAGGUCCAUAGGAUAGGACAGCAUAGUAUAGUACCCUGGGCUAAAAAUCAAUAAAAAAAAAUAAACAACGAAUAGAGAGCAAAAUAUAUGUAUAAGAAAAGAAAAUGCUAUCAUCAAAGGCGACGGAUUUCGGAGGGAUCGGGAGGUGUAGGUAUGUCCGUUCCUCCCCUUCCUUGUCCGUCGAACAAAAGGUGACAAAAGAGAAAAGGCAAAAUACCCUCAUUAGACACGCGCACACACGCAUGCAUAUACACACAAAUGGACAGCAAAAAGGGAGGCAAAAUAGAAACAAAGAAAAACAAAAGGACAUGACAAUGAGUGAGGAGAGGAGAAAGAAUAGUGACUUUGUUUCGGUAAUGAAAGUAAUACUGUGCGAAGAAUUUUUCGGGAAGAGAUUUGAGUAGGGAUGAGAACAGGAAUGGAUGGAAACGCGAAGGAAUGUAUGUGCACAUGUAGGGGUGAUAUGAUAUGAUAUGGAAAUGGUAUGAUGCCUGUAUAUAUCGAGAACGGGUACGUGAGAAACGUAUUUCCUGCCUUUCCUUCACUAAAUCAUGUCGUCAAUGGAAAUGAAUAGAAUACACCCCAGCCCGACAUAUAGGGCGGAAAUUGAGAAUGGUUGAGCGAGGUAUCUUCCAAUUGGAGAUUUGGUCAGGUAAAUCAGGAGAACGUUUGAAAGUUGUGUUGUAUAUAGAUGUAUGCGGAAAAGCGGAAUUUUUCGAAGGAAUGGGUAGGAGGGCCGUAUAUAUGUUUAUCCUUGUAUGUGUGUAUGUGUGUGUGCGCAUGUGGAAAAUCGACAUCGAAGGUUAAGAAGUAUGAACAAGGCUUUCUGGAAAGGUCCAGAUUAAGACCUGAACCGGCUUGACCUGAAGGCGGUAAUAUCAAUGGAAAUAGAGGAUACGGAGGAGCCAUCGUCGACCUCGAUGGCCGCUUCUGAACCGUCUGGUGCCCUCUUCUCGUUUGCUUUCAUGAUCAGCGUAGAUCCUGGAGCAAUCUUCCCAUCCUCAUCGUCCUCAUCGUCGUCAUCCUCCGCUUGGAGAGCCUCAGUAGCUGCCUUCGCGGCCUCCUCCUCCUUCUCCCUCUCCGCCUCCUUUUCUAACCGUUCCACCUCCACCUUCGCCAGGUCAAGCACAGUGGAAAGUCGUUCAUUUGCUUUCUCCAACUCCACAGCACAAUCUCCACACCGUAGGAAUUGAUGAGCGGCCGUUUCGCAUAGAGAUUGGGCCAAUUCCAACUGUUUAUCGACGAGAUCAAAUGCUGUCUCCCUGCUGGGUGACCUGUUGAGUUUCGACGGC